UAUAACGUGACCGUGACCCAC
rnacentral:misc_RNA from 1 species